GACAAUGGUAAACUACUUAUCACUAUUGGGCUGGGGGGAUGGUACAGAUAAUGAAUUUUUCACUAUUGAACAACUUGUUGAAAAGUUCACUAUAGAACGUGCAAAUAAGAGUGGGGCUAUAUUUGAUUCUACUAAAUUUAGGUUGACAAUCUAAAAGGGGAGAUGGGAACAACACAGACAUGUGGCACUAGCUGGGCAGUAUUUGCAGUUCUGUUGAUGAUCAUUAGCUCAAAGUUGGAUGUUUCUGAAGGAGAACUCUUACCAUACGAUGAUGAAA